rnacentral:rRNA from 1 species
GCACAAGCAGCGGAGCGUGUGGUUUAAUUCGAUGCAACACGAAAAACCUCACCAAGAUUUGACAUGUCGGAAGUAGUGAACCGAAAGGUUAAUUAACUGUUAAGCCAGUAGCCGUCACAGGUGCUGCAUGGCUGUCGUCAGCUCGUGCCGUGAAGUGUAUGGUUAAGUCCUGCAACGAGCGCAACCCUCGUGGUUAGUUGUUUUCUCUAACCAGACUGCCUCGCAAAACGGGGAGGAAGGUGGGAUGACGUCAAGUCAGCAUGGCCUUUAUAUCUUGGGCUACACACACGCUACAAUGGGUGGCACAAUAGGUUGCAACAGUGCGAACUGAAGCUAAUCCCCAAAGCCAUCCUCAGUACAGAUUGCAGGCUGAAACCCGCCUGCAUGAAGUCGGAGUUGCUAGUAACCGCAAAUCAGCACGCUACGGUGAAUACGUUCCCGGGCCUU